AACUAAUAUUACAGCAUUAUACAGUAUCUGUAGGAAGUACAACGUAGAAAGUAAACCUUAACCAUAGUCAACGAUUGCAACUUCUGCAUCUCUAACAGGAGGAAGAGCGCUGGGUGCUGGUGUCCUCAUCACGUUCUCAACUUACUGUUACUGUAUGGCAGAUUUCGUUGAGCAAUUCAUUUGGUUUUGGGCUGUCCCCUGGCGUCUCCACCUCCCAGAGAAAUGUCUGAGGCCUUGAUAUAUUCCUCUCAGGUUUCCAUGGCCGCACCGCAGGGCCAGAUCCCGUUGCACUGAUGUCACUCAUGAAUUGAACCACCUCUCUACGGGAAGGGAUUCACAAGGUCUUAGCCCUGGUAUCAUCUAUCGUUGUGAGAAGGAGAUAUUCCACAUGCGGGAAGCAGGAGUUGAUGGGAUCUGACAGAGGCAUGUGUCUCCUGUCACUCACACUGACACAAAAGGCAUUGUGGGAAUCU
rnacentral:lncRNA from 8 species